CUUAUAUUAAAAAAUUGGACUCGUACAUAUUAAAAAAUUGGAUUACAUAUAUAUUAAUAAAAAUUGUAUAGAAGAGAAGAUGCUCACACGCCAAAUGCCUAGAAGUCUAGAACCUUCCAUCAAAACAAUUUUUAUUUUACUUAUUUCUUAAUUUAGGAGGUGAAUUGAUGAUUCUUUCUAUUACUAGCCCUUUUAUAACUUACUUCCAAAGCUUCUUUUAUCUAUGGUGUCUUGUGUUUAUUCCGUAAAAUAACUCAAACUUCUUAACGGCAUAAACUGCCUUCCCAAAGGAGAAACUUUCCAUUUCCAAAAGUGUUUCUUGAUCAUUUCACAUCAUUUCUUCUCCCUGCAUCUUUGCAGCCUUUCCGUAUCUUUCUUCUUCCUAAAAAUACAAUCUUUUUUACUGUUUUUCACUGCCAAACACUCCCUAAAUUUUGGGUUUUCAGAAUAAUUUCAACUCUUGCUAUUACAUUUUCAAAAAAUAAAGGAGAAACAUUAGGAUUUGUGUGUGUGUGUGUGUGUUGAAAUUUUGAUUUCUUCUCCCUGGCAGCCUUUCACAUAUCUCUGUUCUUCUUCUUUCUUCCUAAAAAUACAAUCUUUUCCACUGUUUUUCACUUCCAAACACUCCCUAAAUCUUGGGUUUUCAGAAUAAUCUCAGUUCUUGCUAUUACAUUUUGAAAAAGAAAAAAAAAAAACAAAAAAAAACUAGGGUAAACAUUAGGACCCAUUUUUCUUCUUUCUUUGUGUUGUAAUCUUGAUAAUGAAUCCAUUGUAUCCAGUGAAAGAGGAGUUUCCAGGGUCAAGUUCCGGUGGUGAUGGCGGUGGCGGUUGGGGCGAGACGUCUAUGAUGACCCCUCCACAGCCAAUGGAGGGGCUACAUGACAUUGGUCCACCACCAUUCCUAACAAAGACAUAUGAAAUGGUAGAUGAUUCAACUACAGAUCAUGUUGUUUCUUGGAACAGAGGUGGUCAAAGCUUUGUUGUUUGGGAUCCACAGGCUUUCUCAACUACACUACUCCCUAGAUUCUUCAAACACAACAACUUCUCUAGCUUUGUCAGACAACUAAAUACUUAUGGAUUUAGAAAGAUUGAUCCAGAGAGAUGGGAAUUCGCGAACGAGGCAUUUCUAAAGGGAAACAAGCAGCUUCUAAGGAACAUAAAGAGGCGAAAAACGACUAAUUCUCAGCCUUUGAGUACAGAACAACAAGCUAUUGGCCCUUGUGUCGAAUUGGGAGGAUUCGGAUUUGAUGGAGAAAUUGAUCGAUUAAGGCGCGACAAGCAAGUAUUGAUGAUGGAACUAGUGAAGCUUAGACAGAACCAACAGAACACUCGAGCUUACCUUCGAUCAUUGGAGCUAAGGUUACAAGGAACAGAAAGGAAGCAGCAACAAAUGAUGAAUUUCUUAGCUAGAGCUAUGCAAAACCCUGAGUUUGUCCAGCAAUUAAUCCAGCAAAAAGAGAAAAGAAAAGAAAUAGAAGACGCUAUAACUAAAAAAAGGCGACGACCUAUUGAUCAAGGCCCUAGUACUAACCGUUCCAUAAAAUCAGAACCUUUGGAAUUCGGAGAGGCUAGUGGAUUCCAAGUAUCUGAACUCGAAGCACUCGCAUUAGAAAUGCAAGGAUUUGGUAGAGCAAGAAGGGAUCAUCAACAGGAAGACACGACAAAAGGGCUCGAACAAUUUGGCAACACGGAUAAAGAACUCGAUGAGGGGUUUUGGGAAGAGUUAUUUAAUGAUGGGGACAUUUCUGGAAAUGAAAACGAUGAAGAAGAAGAUGUAAAUGUCUUGGCAGAGAGGUUAGGGUUCUUGGAUUCGAGCCCUUAGUAAAACGCGUUCAUCAGCUGGACCAAUAACAUCCAAACUAGUAAAACCAAUAUUAAAUCUUUGUUCCAGGAAGAAUGAUGAAAGCAGCUAGAUGGAUCGACCAGCUAAUCGUUGGUAGUUUUUCUUCCGGAACCAAUAUUCCGGUCCCUUUCUGUGUAACUUUAGGCCUUUCUUAGCAGUAAUAUUGCUAGGAUCGUAAACUUCAUUUUAAUUUUAUUGACAGGAUAGAUUCGUGAAGCACUCGAGAAUCAGGUCUGAAAAUCUCUUCUUGGUGUUUCUGGUUACUUCUUAUAUUUUCAAUUAUUGGUUUCUUUUCAGUUCCUUUCUUAUACCUCUGCCUCUUAUUCUUGUUUCUUUCUGGAUCCAAAUGCAGGCAUAGGUUAUGCAGAUUUUGAUGAAGUCUAUGGUCUUUGAAGGUCAUUGUAAAUUCUCAUUAAUAUUGGUCAUCAAGUAAUGUUGCAAUAUUUUGCUUGUGUGGCUUUUAGAUUGCUGUCUUGAUGAUGAAGCAGUUACAAAUAGAAAUCCAAGUUACUUCACGGAAUGAAGAUUUUAUCUGAAGUGGCAGUUUGUAACUACUUUUCUGGCAAAGAUUUGUUUGCCAGAUAGUGUCCCUGUCUCUACUUGUGAGAAAUGAAUCAUGUUCAUGUUCCAUAAAAAAAACAAAAAAAAACCUGCUUCUUUUAGUUGGUAUGUAUUAGCUUAGGCUAUAUAUUUUUCCUUCGUUGUGUCAGUUGUUUCAACCUGCCGUACAACAUUUGAGGCGCGGGAAACAAUAGGUGUGAACUAUAAUUGAUACUACUUCAAAUGGCUGAAUGAGACUGUUAAAGCAAAGGUAAAUUUAAGAUCCAA